rnacentral:rRNA from 1 species
UGCAAGUCGAACGCAGUAGCAAUACUGAGUGGCAGACGGGUGAGUAACAUGUGGGAAUCUGCCUUGUGGUUCAGGACAACAUUGGGAAACCGAUGCUAAUACUGGAUAAGCCCUUACGGGGAAAGUUUUAAUGCCAUAAGAUGAGCCCGCAUUUGAUUGGUUAGUUGGUGAGGUAAUGGCUCACCAAGACAAUGAUCAAUAGCUGAUCUGAGAGGAUGAUCAGCCACACUGGGACUGAGACACGGCCCAGACUCCUACGGGAGGCAGCAGUGGGGAAUCUUGCACAAUGGAGGAAACUCUGAUGCAGCGAUGCCGCGUGAGUGAAGAAGGCCUUUGGGUUGUAAAGCUCUUUUGUAGGGGAAGAUAAUGACUGUACCCUAAGAAUAAGGUCCGGCUAACUUCGUGCCAGCAGCCGCGGUAAUACGAAGGGACCUAGCGUAGUUCGGAAUUACUGGGCGUAAAGCGCGCGUAGGCCGUUGAGUUAGUUAAUUGUGAAAUCCCAAAGCUUAACUUUGGAACUGCAAUUAAAACUGCUCGACUAGAGUUUGAUAGAGGAAAGCGGAAUACAUAGUGUAGAGGUGAAAUUCGUAGAUAUUAUGUAGAACACCAGUUGCGAAGGCGGCUUUCUGGAUCAACACUGACGCUGAGGCGCGAAAGUAUGGGUAGCAAAGAGGAUUAGAUACCCUCGUAGUCCAUACCAUAAACGAUGAUUGCUAGAUGUUGGAAAUUUAUUUUCAGUAUCGCAGCUAACGCAUUAAGCAAUCCGCCUGGGGAGUACGACCGCAAGGUUAAAACUCAAAUGAAUUGACGGGGACCCGCACAAGCGGUGGAGCAUGUGGUUUAAUUCGAAGAUACGCGCAGAACCUUACCAACCCUUGACAUGUCUGUCGCGAGUUUAGGAAACUAAACUUUUCGGGUCGGCCGGACAGAACACAGGUGCUGCAUGGCUGU